UGAUAAGAGCCUGUGGAACAUUCCAUC
rnacentral:piRNA from 1 species